UACGUAGGUGGCAAGCGUUGUCCGGAAUUAUUGGGCGUAAAGCGCGCGCAGGCGGUCCUUUAAGUCUGAUGUGAAAGCCCACGGCUCAACCGUGGAGGGUCAUUGGAAACUGGGGGACUUGAGUACAGAAGAGAAGAGUGGAAUUCCACGUGUAGCGGUGAAAUGCGUAGAGAUGUGGAGGAACACCAGUGGCGAAGGCGACUCUUUAGGUCUGUAACUGACGCUGAGGCGCGAAAGCGUGGGGAGCAAACAGG
rnacentral:rRNA from 1 species